UCACCUGAGAAAGUCUCUUUCUCAAUCUCAGUUUGUGGCAUCUUUCCUGCGGAGCCUUCACCAGAAUCAGCUUCUUUGGCAGGUUUGUUCUUCAGUGAUGCAUCUGCAUUUUCCUGCUCUUGAACUUCCAUUGCGAGCUGGGCAUUCUCAGCUCCUGCAUUCUCAGCAUUCUUUGUCUGAACAGAUUCUUUUUUAUCUCCUUCCUGGACCUGAUUUUCCUUGGUAACGUCAUUCUCUUUGCCUGCCUCUUCAUUUUCCUUCCCAGCUUCCUCUGCAUCUUGCAUUUGGACUUCUUUCUCACCUUCGCCUUUUUCAGGAGUAGUUUCUGUUUCCUUGCUAUCCUUCUUUGAACCUGACGAUUUUCGGCCUCGCUUCUUUGGGGGCUCCUUAUCCGGAGUUGGAGUUGCCUUGGACUUCUCACUGAUUCUCGCUGAUCUCCUGGGUGUCUCACCAGUUCCCCAAUCAAACUCUGAUAUCGCAGGAUUACCAGGGUGUGAUUUUAGGUACUGCUCCAUCUGUUUCCUGUUAUUAAUCUCUUCGCCAGUUGGAGCAAUAAACAUGAUUUCACUCUUCCUUGGUGUACCUGCUCUCUUUGGCAAAUACAUUUUCUUCCAAGCAGGAGGAGCAGGGAGCUCAACGGAAAUAACUUCCUCUUUAGCUUCCAUUUUUCACCGUUUU
rnacentral:misc_RNA from 1 species